rnacentral:tRNA from 1 species
GCGAACGUAGUUCAGUAGUAGAACACCACCUUGCCAAGGUGGGGGUCGCGGGUUCGAAUCCCGUCGUUCGCU